AACGAACGCUGGCGGCAUGCCUAACACAUGCAAGUCGAACGAGACCUUCGGGCCUAGUGGCGCACGGGUGCGUAACGCGGGGGAACCUGCCCUAGGUUCGGAAUAACUCCCCGAAAGGGGUGCUAAUACCGGAUAAUGUCUUCGGACCAAAGAUUUAUCGCCUUUGGAUGGGCCCGCGUUGGAUUGGCUAGUUGGUAGGGUAAAAGCCUACCUAUGCGACGGUUCAUGGCUGGUCUGAUAGGCUGCUCCGCCACACUGGGCCUGCGACACGGCCCAGACUCCUACGGGAGGCAGCAGUGGGGAGUAUUAGACGAGGAGCGAAAGCCUGAUACAGCAAUGCCGCGUAAGUGAUGAAGGCCUUAGGGUUGUAAAGCUCUUUUACCCGAGAUGAUAAUGACAGUACCGGGAGAAUAAGCUCCGGCUAACUCCGUG
rnacentral:rRNA from 1 species